rnacentral:lncRNA from 1 species
CGUGAAGCCCGUUUGCGCGCGCUGCUCUGAUGGCGCGGUUGGAAACGUUCGAUUUAUGGUGCGUUCGCGAUGUCCGCGGUGCCGAACGCAAGUGCCGGCUUCCACUGCAGGAAUAGAAACAACCGGGAAUUGUGUGCGACUGAAGACACGAGUAUCCUUUGUAAAUCUGCGACGCCGGCGGUGAUGAAAUGGUCUCGCUGUGCCUGCAUCGAGAUAUCUGCGCGCCCUCGAACGAAGAUGACAGCUCGAAGGAGUCCGAAAGAAACCACUUUAUUCUUGCAGUCGUGUCAGCGAACAUCCGCCGUGAACAGCACGUGUUACUUAUUAAUUGUUCUUGCUUCAGUGACACUUAAACGCCAUGGUUAUUGCUGCCAAUUAACGCGCGAUCUUUACUCUGAAUGUGAUGUUCGUCAGGAACGUGCCGCGUACUUCUCAUCAAGGAGCGAAUGACUGAUUGCUGUGUGGGCUAGUGUCAUGCGCUGCACUUUCGAUCAGUCCGAUUAGUAUCGAAAUAUUUCUUGGCGGCGAUUGGCUCCUUUCCGAAGCUUGCUCAGGCCAAUCGCGACCAAGAAAUUGGAUCGUGAUCGGGAGUGUCCCGUGUGAAACCCGUAAUACAAAGCAAAAUUUCUGCUUGUUGGUGUGAUAUGUGCCCAUUAGGUAAAAAAAAAAAACUAAAGAAAAAAGUCCUUGAUCAUUGUAUAUAGUGCGCAAAUCUGCUGAUAUAGGACCAAGAGUGCUCGCUUAGCUGCCUGCGUUCACGUUAAGUGUCACGGUGACCAUUUUUACCUUCACAUUAUUCUAGGUGACUCAAGCAUGUUUUCAGCCCCAGGAAACAUAAAUCUAACUCGAGCUCGUACACUGCACCAAAUGAAAACUCAGGCUUGAAACAUCAACUUUCCUUUCUAAUUAAAAGUAUGGCGACAGCAGUAGUGUCAGGGUUAUCCUGUUACGUAUAGCCUACUUGCUUUACCUUGUAGCCAGUAAUUCUUCAGCAAUCCUUCUAUUAUGUGCAUGUUAGUGUUUCAUGAAAAAGCUUUCUAAGCUGUGUGAACACUUGAGGCUGAGUAGGACCUUGAAUAAGGGACCACUCAUGCUUGCAAAUGAAGUUUACAGUCGCUGAUUACACUGAAAGAGUCCGUUUGACUUCAUCAGUGACCAUCAUGUCUACUUGUAGCAUGCUACCUGACUACACAAGAGUUCCUUGAAAUCUUGACAAAGCUUUAGUGCUUAUGCACCAUUAAUAAAUGAUCAAGCAUUGCAGAAACUCAAAACAAGCGUUAUGGUACUAUAAGCGCACAAAAUUAAAAUGCAUACAAUUCGCGAGAUGAUGAUUGCAUGGUCCCAGACAGCUUCCACUGUCUUAGAAAUCAGUUUCCAAGUAGCAGUACCUUUUAAUUUUGCUUGCUUAUUUAUGUUCAGGCUUUGGGUGGACCAGUGCACAAGUAUAUUGACCACCAAGAUGCCCGAUCAUAUAUUCUUUCCAUGUUUCUAUGUGUUUUGAUACUUUCAUAAGAGCUGAACUGUUUUGCUUGCACCUUCAAUGUGCUCGCUCUUCCCCUCACUCCUCUCUUUUUGUGUUCCAGGUUUGCACAUGCAUUCAACAACGGCAAGAUCCGGUUCCCUAGUGACUGUAGUGCCGCGUUGAAGUGCUGUUCAUCGUGCGCUUCUCUUCACUUACUGCAUUGUCCAAAAAACACUUAACCUGUGUGUUAUAGCUGUGGCCAACAUAGAUGCAGUGCAAAGCCUUGCGUGCUUACAGUUCAUCUCCUUGUUAGCCACCUAUUUAAAUGAAGCAAAGAGACCGCAUAGUUAUUCUGACAACUCUGGAAACUGAUUGUGUUGUUACAGCUACUUUGGCCUCACCCAUACGUGAGCAGGUAGCGCAGAAAACAGAGACCCGAGACGAGCACUAAUGAAAAGUAUGGUCACAGUAGCGCUUAUUUCGUGUCUGUUACUUGUUUGUGUCUUUGUUUUUUGUGCUACCUGCUCAAGUAUGAAACCCUGCAAACUCGCCCGGAUCUCAUUUCACUCAUAUUGCACAGCAUGAUCACAGUCUUCAGUGGAUGUUGUUCAGUAGUUCACUUGGCAUCUCUAAUUGCCUGUUUUGUCUGAGAUAGCUUACACACAGGAAGAAUGCCAUCAUAUGCAUGCCUUAUUGUUAGACAAGUAAGCUGCUGUAGUAAUGUGCAGCUGGGACAACAUAUUGCGAGAUUCUUUUUACAACUUCUUGCUGAGCAAGUUGGUGCAUGU